GAAAACCUCCUGGGUUAGCCAGGGGGAAAGAGAAGAGUGAGUGACCUCUUUUAGAAAGCACUGCAGCCCUAGAAAUCUGACUAAUGGCUGGAGAGGGUACGUGAUGAUAACUCACAGCGGCCACUUGGAUUUAAUUAUAGCAACAUUUGCAGACAAUAAGUGGGUCUUGAGUGAAGCUGGCCUGAUGAUAUGGCAGUGACAAAAGCUAAUCUGGAUUUCUGGCCAAAAGAAUGGAUGAGAAAUGACAAAUGACUUCGGAAGGUUUCCUCUAGGAGGCCAGAUGUUUUAUCCUGCUAUGUUAAGUCAUCUUGACAUGUUGCCACGAAGUGGAAACAACUGCUAGUUUGAAUAUUGCUCCAUAUCUUUAUUACAAGGUGAGAGUUGCCCCAUACACCUUUAAGACUUUCUAGCUGUGCUGGAAGAUUCCCAAGUGUGCACAGUCCUGCUAAUGAUGCUGUGAACCUGGUGGAAAGGAAGAGACAUUCAUAACACAGUAUGGUCAGUGCCGUCCUAAAGAUGUUACUUUCACAUCAUCUGUACAGAUGUUACUACACAUGAGCCAGUUGAAGCUGAAGAACUGGAGCCACGAGGGUAUGAAAGAAGAGCAAGUCAUGAUCCACGUCAAGUCUGAAGCCUCUUCCUAUUGAUUGCCUUACCUGUCAGUAACUCAAUAAGCAACAUUACCUCUUUCAAGAAUCAAUGAACAGAAAUGCUAUGAGGAAACAAAUUAAGAGAAAUCUUCAUUCCUGAACACACCAUCGUGGUGUAGAGUCUAAGAAAGAACAUGGCACCAGGAAUCAAAAGAUGGCAAUACUCACAGCCUAGAGCUUCCUGCUACCAGCCUAUAGUACAAGGCAGCUGAUGGAAACUCAACUUCCUCAUCUGUGACAUGGGAAUGAUACUAGUCCUAAGUAUGUCAUAGGAUUGCUAUGAAUAUUGAAUCACAUCAUGUUUUGAAAUCUUGAAGUUUUUCUAAAAUAUGAACCAUUAUUAUGACAUACAUAGAUUUAAAAAAAGGAAGAGAGUUUGGAAGAGACAAGAAUGGAGAAUAAUACAUUUAAUUGCUUUUUACUCCCUGUUAACCAUGUUCCUAAAACUAAUUUCAUAAAAUCCCCUGAGUUUCAUCCUUUGCUAAAGCUCUAGAAGGUAAUGAAGGCCUUUCAUUCAUACAUAUUUAUCAAGUGCCCUGUAAACCCUGAUCACACUAGUGAACAAAACAAAGAGGUCUGCCUUCAGGGUGCUUCUUUGCCAUUUGGUAAUCCCAGGGAUGGUGCUUGAGAAAGUCCUCUGACCUACAGCUGCCACAGUGAAGUCCCAGGCUCUUGCUUGCCUCGUCUUCCACCCAAUGUAAUCCUGGGGCCCAGAUCUCUCAAAAAUCCACAACUAGCCUUUAAUCCAGAGUCAGGCAUUUGGCCUUUACACCAGGCCAAGGUUUGGUGCUCAGAAGGUGGACAGGAACAACAUACUGAGUGCCUGCAAUGCCCUCAGAGAACUAGUAUCUGGGUUUAAUUUCCACUGUCUGUCAGAGUGGAGCUUUGAUCAGACGCUGCAUUUUUUCACUUCUCCUAAGUGACUAGAGGCUACUACCAGUCCAUUAUGACUGCCUCUGUGAGAGCUUGGGGUUGGCCAUGACAUCAGAGAUUUAUUUACAUGAAUUUCCACUGAAUCGCCUUGCUCAGGCUUCCCUCUCCCUGUUCCACUCCUGGAACAGUUAGUGCCAGGGGCUCAACAUGGGAGCAAAUGUGUAUCCAGGAAGGUAAGAGAUGGGAAGCAGGGUGGGGACCCACACUAUCACAGAAGGAAGUGGAGCACCAGUAAGUGACUGCAGCUGGCUCUUAAUGGCUUUUCUUCUCUGCCGUCAUUUUCCUUUAAGCCCAAAAGAAACUCUUUGUAAUACGUGUUAAAAUUAUGGUUCAGAUUUCUGAUGAUCAAGUUACAUAGAUUAAAGUAAUGGAUACCAGACUCCACAUCAAUUCAGGUAUAAAUAUGGAUGAAAUGAAUGUACAUUAUCCACUGUUAUAAAUCUGUGUGUUCAAGGAAAGACAUCAAUCUCCCAAACCUUUCCUACCUCAGGCUAUGAAGGUUUUUUUUUUUUUUUUUCAGUGUUUUCAAUGAAAUUAUGAUUUGGAGUAAUUUGCUGGUUUUGCAGAAACCUCUGGCUUUUUUUUUUUUUUUUACAAGAAAGGGUAGAGUAUAUUAUUUAUAAUGGCAAGUCAUUAAAAUGCUCCAGGAAGUCAUCAUUGCAGCAGGGGUUGGAGAGGGAAGGGGUUAUAUGGCAUUCCAGAUGUGCAUGUGUGGAGAAGGGCCAUGCGCUUGGAGAAAUUUAUAGCACCUGGCUCCAUUGUAAAGGGUUCUUGGCCCGGGGGCAUUUCUGUUUGCUCCCCCUCCCCUUGGCCUAUCAACACUCUUCAUGGAGUGGCUCAAAGGUGUCAGUGCGUGAUGGACAUAUGGCCACAGGAUGCUGUGGUCUGGACUGGAAGAUGGAGUUCUUACUCCCGCACAGCCACAGGGCUGAUGAAAGUGUCUGAGCUCCUGGUAGCCUCGAGUCCCCACAGGAGCAAGGAGGAGCCUCCUUGUGUGAGGGAUGAACAGAGCCGAACACUCUGCAGACACACGUGCCCCAGCAUGCAACUCAACAGCUACACAUUUGGUCACCCCGGUUUACCCCAAGGUAAUUUUAUACAUUUUAUACAAUCCAUAAAAUGAAGAUGAAAAUCAUAUUCCGUAUGAGGGAUAAGGACUAAGACGGUAUGUCUGAAGGCACCCAGAUCUUUCUACUGAAACUCCCCACUUAUAGCUUAAUGGACUCAUGACCACCAAUGUCCCAAGCAGAACUGUGUCAGAGACCCCUAGCCAUCCUCUAGCUCCCCACAGCUACAGCCCCUGCUGACUCCACAUGGUGGUUCAGCUGUUUCUCAAGUCCUGGUCACAAAUGAAGAACUAAACAAGGAGGUUCUUUCUGUGGUAUUGCUCCAGGCUCCCUCCUGUGCAGCAUCCAAAUUGACCCACAACCACUUUUUCCUCAUUCCUGCCAGCAGAAGGGAAAAUAGGAAAAGGAGGGCAUGCCCCUUCCCUGUAAGGACAAACCUAGAAAUGACCUCAUCCUUUCCUUCACAUUCCACUGGUCUGAACUCUGUCAGGUGGUCCUACCUAAUCAUGAAGGGGAGUGCAGAAAGCAUCCUUCAGCUGGGUAGCCAAGGACCCCACUAAAUUCCCUUACAUGGAGGGAAGGGAUAUGGAUACAGAGUGAUAAUUAAUAGUCCCUUCUAAAGAGGGGUCACUGGGAGUUAUUCUAGAAACUCAAACAGGACUAUAUGCAUGAAGAGACACUUGGGUUCUCUAGGAGUGGGGAAAGGAAGUUUGUUGCCCAUGGAUCAUGAAAUGUGUUUAUAUCUAAUAGUCAGAUUAAUCAGGACUUAGCUCUAUGGUUCACUUUGUUAAUUUGCAGAUUCCAGAAGCCAAGGUAACUGGGCCUGUCCUAUUACAGGACAAGGAAAGUGGACUUUCCUCUGCAACCACAGUCAGUCAUCCUAUGCCUACCCAAUGCACAGCACAUUUUUUACCUUGGUACUUCCAGCACAUUUCCCAUGCCUGACCUACAGCUGUUCAUUCACCGUUGUUGAAUGAAUGAGUGAGUGAAUGGAUAAAGAAGUUAGAGAGUGAAAUAAAGAAGGAGUAGAAACUGCAAAAUGAGAUGGCAGGAAUGGCAGUUGGCACUUUCAAAAACAAAGCUAAAUCAGAAGACCUUAACAGAUAUUUCUCCAAAGAAGAAGCACAGAGGGCCAAAGGACACAUGAAAAAAUGUUCAACAUCGCCAA